UUUGUUAGUCAUCACUACACUCAGAGCUUGAGGCCAGUGCCAUUCACACUUGCCCUAUUCUGCAGCAGACAGCUCCAGCUCCUCUAAUCCUCCUUUUUCUCCCCACCCCCCCAAAAAAAAACUUUUCUUGAGGAGUAACAACUAUAGCUUUGGGGAUAAUAUAGCUUUAAGACAACUUUUGGCAGAUGCAAACAUCCCAACAUCUGGGCAGUGUUACCAGAAUCCCGGAGGCCCUGACAGACCAGGAGCCACUGGUUCUGGGAAUGUUAAAGUAGAAAGGGUUUUUCCGACUGAUGAGAGGAGCAGAGAGCAAGGAGAAAAAGGGGAGAGAAGGAGACCGCAAAAAAUAAAAUAAAAAGCAAAUGCAUGUUCCUGCUCUCUUCUCCGCUUCCAGCAGAAGGAUGGCUCCCUCCGUGUGAAGAUUUCCCUAGAAAGGAAAACGGGAUAGCAACAGGAGCUUGGUCAUACUCUUCUUGUGGGCCUCGUCAGGUCUUCUGCAACCACUCUGCCAUCCUGCUAGUUCAGCAGGGCAAAACUGGAGAGAUCCCAUAUAUCUGCUUCUUCUCACUUUUGGGAGUUCAUAGCUGGCUCAGUUCUGAAAGUCAUUGUCCCUUACCCUGAUAUUUCUGGCCUAUUCUUGCCUCCUGAAGCUUCCAUGUUAAGGAUGGCUGGUCAACUGACCCAAAGAGGUGCUCUCUCACUGCUGCUCUUCCUAACACCAGCAGUGACACCAACAUGGUAUGCAGGCUCAGGCUACCAUCCAGAUGAAAGCUACAAUGAAGUAUAUGCAGAAGAGGUCCCAGCUGCCCGCUCCCUGGACUACCAAGGUAAUUCUCAUUGUUUCUCAAGCUCAGGAAGGAUGUUUUCUGGACU